rnacentral:rRNA from 1 species
CCUACGGGAGGCAGCAGUGAGGAAUAUUGGUCAAUGGACGAAAGUCUGAACCAGCCAAGUAGCGUGAAGGAUGACUGCCCUAUGGGUUGUAAACUGCUUUUAUAUGGGAAUAACGUGUUCCACGUGUGGGAUUUUGUAUGUACCGUAUGAAUAAGGAUCGGCUAACUCCGUGCCAGCAGCCGCGGUAAUACGGAGGAUCCGAGCGUUACCCGGAUUUAUUGGGUUUAAAGGGAGCGUAGGCUGAUUGUUAAGUCAGUUGUGAAAUUUUGCGGCUCAACCGGAACAUUGCAGUUGAAACUGGCAGUCUUGAGUCCACGAGAGGCGGGCGGAAUUCGUGGUGUAGCGGUGAAAUGCUUAGAUAUGACGAAGAACUCCGAUUGCGAAGGCAGCUUACUGGAGCGGAACUGACACUGAUGCUCGAAAGUGCGGGUAUCAAACAGGAUUAGAUACCCGGGUAGUC